rnacentral:rRNA from 1 species
GACGAACGCUGGCGGCGUGCUUAACACAUGCAAGUCGAACGGAAAGGCCCUGCUUUUGUGGGGUGCUCGAGUGGCGAACGGGUGAGUAACACGUGAGUAACCUGCCCUUGACUUUGGGAUAACUUCAGGAAACUGGGGCUAAUACCGGAUAGGAGCUCCUGCUGCAUGGUGGGGGUUGGAAAGUUUCGGCGGUUGGGGAUGGACUCGCGGCUUAUCAGCUUGUUGGUGGGGUAGUGGCUUACCAAGGCUUUGACGGGUAGCCGGCCUGAGAGGGUGACCGGCGACAUUGGGACUGAGAGACGGCGCAGACUCCUACGGGAGGCAGUAGUGGGGAAUAUUGCACAAUGGGCGGAAGCCUGAUGCAGCAACGCCGCGUGCGUGAUGACGGCCUACGGGUUGUAAACCGCUUUCGACGGUGACGAAGCGUGAGUGACGGUACUGGGUAAAGAAGCACCGGCUAACUACGUG